GACGAACGCUGGCGGCGUGCUUAACACAUGCAAGUCGAACGGAAAGGCCCUGCUUUUGUGGGGUGCUCGAGUGGCGAACGGGUGAGUAACACGUGAGUAACCUGCCCUUGACUUUGGGAUAACUUCAGGAAACUGGGGCUAAUACCGGAUAGGAGCUCCUGCUGCAUGGUGGGGGUUGGAAAGUUUCGGCGGUUGGGGAUGGACUCGCGGCUUAUCAGCUUGUUGGUGGGGUAGUGGCUUACCAAGGCUUUGACGGGUAGCCGGCCUGAGAGGGUGACCGGCCAAAUUGGGAAUGAGAGACGGGCCAGACUCCUACGGGAGGGAGGAGUUGGGGAUAUUGCAAAAAGGGCGGAAGCCUGAUGCAGCAACGCCGCGUGCGGGAUGACGGCCCUCGGGUUGUAAACCGCUUUCGCCUGUGACGAAGCGUGAGUGACGGUAAUGGGUAAAGAAGCACCGGCUAACUACGUG
rnacentral:rRNA from 1 species